UACCCGCGGCGCGAGCGGUGAUCGGUUUUAUUGGGCGUAAAGCGCUCGUAGGUGGCGUUGUAAGUCGGGUGGGAAAGAACCGGGCUUAACAUUUGAAUUGCAUUCGAGACUGCAUUGCUGGGGUACGGACGAGGACAGCGGAAUUCCCGGUGUAGCAGUGAAAUCCGUUAAUACCGGGAGGAACAUCAGUGGCGAAGGCGUCCCUCUUGAACAGUUCUGACACUCAAGUGCGAACGCGAGGGGAGCAAACCGG
rnacentral:rRNA from 1 species